UCCCGCUGUUUUUCUACACUCUCUCCAUGGAAGUCACACGGUUGCGGCUUGCAUGUUUGCGUGUUCGUGUUGCAGGUUAAUAAGAAUUUAUGCAGAGAACUGGCAACGACCACAAAGUUCGCCUCUAAAAUCUCGUCGUCAGCUGAAACUGUGUCGCGUCUGGCUGCCUCGAUCUGUACAAUCGCGUUGCGAAUUGCUGUGCGUUUAAGUUGCAGUCUGAUCAGGGUUGUCCAACAUUCUUUUACUUAGCGCCAAGAAUAUUACUCCCGUUGGACCCAAGGUCCAAGAAACCCCUCCUGACACCAACAGCCAAUUUUCGUGUUCGUCGCUAUAUGAUAUGCUCGAACAGAAAUUUUAUUGAAGUUUCCACAAAACACUAGUGGCAUAAAGCUGUAGAUUAUGCAAAAUUUCCUCCUGCAAUAGCCUGUACGUAUCUAACACAGCCCCCCCAUAAAACUUUCAUUUAGGGGUUUUAAAAUUUAAAUAAUUUCGCUGGCCGAAAACCGGAUUUUCUUCAAAUGUCACUCACGCACCCAAAGAGAUUGUUUCAGACCCAGAAGGUUCAUAAAUAGGCCCACCUGUCUUUUGAAAACGAAGGCGAGAAAAGUUUUAUGUUUCAUGUGGCACAUUUCAGACAGGCCUACGUGACAGAGCGUCAAAGACGGGAUUCUGUGUUGUUACGUUGGACGUACGAGCUGUCGGUGUCAGGCGACUCCGUGGCACAGAAUGCGGGCGAACGUUGACAGGAUUUCGUGGCCAAGUGUUGGCAACACUGCCUGCGAAACGGCUGCUUUUAUCCACUUGAAACAACCUCGGAGAGUAGGGCUGAGAGACAUUAAGAUCUGAUGAUGGAGGCAACAAGCAUCUCUGAAACGUCGGCAGAUUUCUACAAGACAUCCAUCGCCAUACUCGCAGCCGUCGGAACCUGAAACAUCACCGAGAUGAUGGUGACUGAAAUGGCGGCCAGAUUGCUGCUUGGCGGGGACGGCGACCGCUUGGACACCCCUCACCUUCCAAUCACAAACCGUUUGUGGCCGCCGAGAGAAAGUCCUUCAAGCACGCUCAGCUAGUCAAUAAAUUCCUCGCCGUUUACAGAACUCGAAUGUUCAUUACUGUGUUCACAGGCUGAUUCUCUUAUGGUCAGGGGUUAUUGCCCCCGCUCAAACUCAAAGCCGGAGGAUCACCCCCUGUCGGCUGUCGGCGACUGUUCAUUCAAUAUAUUUGAAUCUGCCCUUCAUAUCGGGAGACAUUCUCCUGCGACCGCAACGUGGUGGCAAAUGUCCCACUCAACACGGGACCCGAAAAUUUUGACAUGCAAAGUUUCGUUCGCGAUUCUCGCCACAGCGGAGCGGAGUGAACGUGCGGGUUGCAGCAGAACAAGGCGGAUGAAGCGAUUCGUCGUAAGUUCGGUGACCGACCAGUUUCUGAUACACCAAGAACUUGAUGGUUUCAUUCCCAUCAUGCCUCUGGAGUUUGUGACGAAGCUCCUCGUCAUGUAAUUUUCUCUAUCCUGCUAGAUCAACGCUGAUGCGUCCAAAUAUUCACCUCAGCGCUUUGCUCUGAAAUACCCUGGAUUGACGCACAUUCUCUGGGGACUUUCACUUUGAACCCGCGAAAAAUAAAGGAGUUGUCAGAAAAAUUUUUGUGCGUCGGCGUCAAAACUGCCACAAGAACACGCGGACGCCGUUCGUUACAGGAACGAAUUAAAUUACUACCUGGAGCUGCGUUACUGAAGAAAUCUCGCAGCAAGAGAACAGCGUCCCAAAAUGUAAUGCUUCUUUUAUCGUCACAAGGCCACCGUCUUGCGUCAUCGCCUGGCACUUUGUAAUGUUUAUCGGUUAUUUAACAGGAUAAUACAAUACAAACUGCAAUUGGUCUUACUGUAAAAAUGCAAGACGCAGACAUGUUUUCAACAAACACCUACUGUUGCACCGAACAAUCCUUUUAAUUCGGUCCAAUAAUUCCAAAAGAAAAAAUACUUUUUUCAUUCCUUUAAGCUAUCGUGAUUCAGAAGAGAAAGUGGGCUAUUGCAGUGGCAAAAACCUCGGUUCGUGCUACGCCGCCAUUUUCUCCUCCAUUCGGUGCACGAACUCUGUCAGUGGUGAACGAAGUGGCUUCAGCGGUAACAAAUUCCCGAGUCGACUCUGUUCUUCACUUACGCAGUGCGACGUCCACACAGAUCAUAAAAUGCGUCUGGGAUGAUUCGUAAAUUGGUGGAUGGACAACGCCGGAUUCGAGCACGACAAAAGAACCACGGUGGAAAUGGACGAGGUGUCGCCACCUGCUCCUGCCGAAGUGUCUGCGGCGACUGUCAACGGCAAUGGUGUCCGCGGCUGCACAGACGUCUGUCUUUCUUUGCAUGAACAACAUCAACGGAGCCUUCAGCAGUAUCAGCAGAAGUCCAAGACUCCUCGACCGCCCGAGAGCCCGUGGCAUCGCCUCAAAACUAUCUUUCUCGUCAGCACCGUCGUGUUCCUGGCCGUCUGGAUCGUGGUGUACGCCGUGCUCAGUCAGAUGGCCGUCGUGUGACCACCGCGACAACACGUGACCCGAAACAUCCUCCCAAUCGCCCGUGUUACUCAGAUCGGUACAAUCACAUCAGAAGUCUAAUUUAUCGUAAACCGCUUCUUAAUCCAGAACGAUGCACGAAAUGUUAAACCUGAAAUGUCAUAUUUAGAUCAGAUAAGACAUGGCAGGUAAGAGUCCCAUUUCGAGCAGUUUCAUUUUAAAAUAAAUAAUUGUUCGCAAGAGAAACUUCAACGCGGGGCUUCGUACGGAUAUCGUGAAUGUUAGUAACGGUCACAGCGUUGGAUGACUGAUAAUAUUAAUCCAAUAUGAAGCCCUUACAAUCGAGACAUUUCAGUAAAUAACACAUUUUCCGUCACAUGGGCUCAGGCUGCUGUAAUGUCCAGAAGAAAAUUAUAACAGACGCCUCACAACAGACAAAUCCACGUUCGAACACAGUCCGUGCAUAAAAUUUGGCCACGGACUUUGAAACAGAUGUUCGUCUGCUGUGAUAAUUUUAUACGAACUUCGUCACUGGAUUCGACAAUAGUCUGAGGCAAUAGUCUUGCAAACCCCAUGUUAUGGAAAUUUAACAGUUUAUACAUGUUCAUAUAUUGAUCAUGGUAAAAAAAAAUUCCUAAAAAUUCUUGUAGGCAUAUUCACUGUCGCCACCCUGAACAGCGGAUUCGCAAAGCAGCUAUGUUUGAAAAAGCAUCGCUUCCUAAAUUCGCCAAACAGCCUGCCCCUUUUAAUUUACUGCAAAUCAUUAGUUCAGGUUUAUAAAUUGAAUAAAUAAACAGUCAAACAGAUCCGAAAAGCAAUUUUAUGAAAAUCGAUAAGAACACAUUCUGUAUUCUGCGCAGAUAUCAGUUAUUUUCGUGAAAUUAUCUUUCGUGUGGAGGGGGCCUUGAACAGUGUGGAUUUUGUUCACGUGUGAACACGAACCUUUUGUAGAAUGUGUCACGGCGCGUGUCUCAUGAGACACUGUUAAUACAAAGUUGCAGGUACAAAGGUGAAAUUAUGGUCGAUAUAAGUUGAUGAGUAGAUGAGCGGAGUGUUCGUCUCGUGUGUAGGCCCAUCUGAUAAGAUACCAGCGAAAACAAUUUUUUAUGGAGACCAAAUACACCGCAGAACUGAGUUUACAGAUUCAACCAUCUUGUGCACUUUACAUACAAAGCCUCGUGAACGCCAAAAUAAAAUUUUGUUGUCAACAAUCGUGCGAAAAAUGUUACAAACAUGAACGCCCAUACCGAAAUUGUAAGCCGGAAACACUUUGCUUUGUUUCGUGACGUCCAAUCAUUUGGAAAACUUUACCGCUUCGUAACAAUGUUUUCAACAAUGCUGUGUAUGUGUGGGUGGGGCUUGACAUUGUUGGAAACAUUUUUUUGUAAUUUUCUUUGCUUUUUGCGACUGAUCAUGGGAGGGGUUUUCAAUAGGACUGUUAAUUAUUAAUAAAAUUUUACAGAAAUCGUUGACAACGCUGUUUGUAGCACAUGCUUUUCAACAUUUGGGUACGGACAGGGCUUAAGAGUUGUACAGCUGGAAGCAAUGCAUGCACAAUCCAUUUCCAUUUUAAACUGAAACGUAAUUUAUAAUUAAAUGUAUUUCAAGAGUGUGAUUAAUAUGUAUUAAACGACGUGUAACAUAUUCGUUAAUAUACAACCUGAAUGACA